UACGUAGGGGGCAAGCGUUGUCCGGAUUUAUUGGGCGUAAAGAGCUCGUAGGCGGUUUGGUAAGUCAGGUGUGAAAUCUCCACGCUCAACGUGGAGGGGCCACCUGAUACUGCCAUGACUGGAGUCCGGUAGAGGAGUGUGGAAUUCCUGGUGUAGCGGUGAAAUGCGCAGAUAUCAGGAGGAACACCGGUGGCGAAGGCGGGUCUCUGGGCCGAUACUGACGCUGAGGAGCGAAAGCGUGGGGAGCGAACAGG
rnacentral:rRNA from 1 species